UGUGUGAUUCUGGAGAGUUGGGCCGAAAAACAGCAGCAGCAUUUUCAAGUAAGGUGUGUUUAGAUUUGCUGAUUUGCUGGAACAUAAGAAUUCUAGAUUGCAGCAUCCAUCCGUGGAUCUGAAACCACAUUACCGAGCAGAGUGAAUUUAGCUAUGCAGUCACUGUGAGGAAGAUGAUGUGGCAGUAAAGAUCCCUGCUUAUGCCUGGGUGAACUCUGGUCCUGAGCAGAAGCCUGACCUCUGAUACCUGUUCCACCAUGAACCUGUUUCAUCCUCUGUGGAGUGCUGCAGCAGCUGUUCUUGUCAAUGCCCAGCAAACUCCCACGACUCCUGAGCUCUUCCUGGGAACUUGGAAACUCGUCUCCAGUGAAAACUUUGAGGAAUACAUGAAAGAACUGGG